AGAUUCCCCGUCACUCAAAGUCUGGCCACACCCACUGAAGUGGCGACCAAUCAGACUCCCCUUUUUAAAAGUCUGGCCACACCCAAUAAGGUCUCAAAUUCCACAGACAAAGACCCACAUUCUCAUUGUUGCCUGCCGUACUGUUGCUUUGUGCCAAAAGCUAUUCUAAUCUGGAAGGCAGAGACCAUCCCCAUGUGGUUCGGCCCCUCAAGAUUCGGGGACCUGUAAAAGGUAGCUCCCAAGAGGUCCGAUGUCGAUCUUCUGGAAGAACGCUUGGGACUGUGUGACCUUUUGGAGUGUCUCUGCUUGCACGAGGCUAGAAGGGCUUGGCCAAGCAGAUACAAGGAUCGAUCCCGCGGUGGUUAGGUCAGAGCUUCAUUUUUAUGUACGGUGGAACUGCUCCAGGUUUGCCCACCUUCAAUCCUUAUUCAACCACAGUUCAUCUCCUGGACUAAAGUUUCUGCAGGAAUGGCUUCCAGUUAGAGAGCUUGAGGUACUUUCGAUCCAUCUUCACUAAGGAGGACACAAACAAUCUUCCUGAUGUACUAGUGGCCAGAGGAUCUGGGGUGGCGGAGGAACUGAAGUUA